GAUGAACGCUGGCGGCGUGCUUAACACAUGCAAGUCGAACGGACUCAUAUUGAAACCUAGUGAUGUAUGAGUUAGUGGCGGACGGGUGAGUAACGCGUGGAGAACCUGCCGUAUACUGGGGAAUAACACUUAGAAAUAGGUGCUAAUACCGCAUAAGCGCAUAGCUUCGCAUGAAGCAGUGUGGAAAACAAAAAGCUAAAGCUUUUGGUGGUAUACGAUGGAUCCGCGUCUGAUUAGCUUGUUGGCGGGGUAAAGGCCCACCAAGGCAACGAUCAGUAGCCGGCCUGAGAGGGUGAACGGCCACAUUGGGACUGAGACACGGCCCAA
rnacentral:rRNA from 1 species